CGCCGCCGGGGACGUCCAUGCGUAUUCUAGCUCCAAGGCCGCUGUCGUUCACGCCAGUGACGCCUUCUCGGCUUUGAGGCGCCAAACUUGAGUAUGUAAUUGGCAGAUCAGAUGAGGACUUGAAAACACCCUUUGGCAUUAAAAUUCUGGACAAACUAACUCAGACUUGGGUUGUGCCAACAGUAGUUGGGGCUUAGCCUCCAUCCAAGUUGCACGAAGCAAUUCUUGUAAAGGAUGAGAAGAUAUUGGUUGUUGAGAACUGGACAAAAUCCUACAGAAAAAAGAUUGAGGAACCGGCUGUCUUGCAUUUUGCUUGCACUGAAACUGGAGUAGCAAUUUCUGCUCACCCAUUUGUCUUUCCCUUUCCCGCUAGUUGAAUGUAUCAUUUUGUUGUGUGAAUGUUGUGGAGCAGCAAAUAUUCUUAUCAACAUUCUAUGAGGAAACAUCGCAAUGUAACUGAGAUUCCGCAUUGUAUUUUAUUUCAUUGUUUGGAAA